UCAGACGAUGCGUCAUGCAUAUCAAUAAGCGGAGGAAAAGAAACUAACAAGGAUUCCCCUAGUAACGGCGAGUGAAGCGGGAAGAGCUCAAAUUUGAAACCUUAAAGGGUUUCCCUUUACGAAUUGUAGUUUAAAGAAGUGUUUUCUGUUGAGGUUUUGGUAAAAGUUCUUUGGAAUAGGACAUCAUAGAGGGUGAGAAUCCCGUAUUUGACCUUUACUUCCAACUUUGUGAUACACUUUCAAAGAGUCGGAUUGUUUGGGAAUGCAGUCCAAAAUGGGUGGUAAAUUUCAUCUAAAGCUAAAUAUUGGCGAGAGACCGAUAGCGAACAAGUACCGUGAGGGAAAGAUGAAAAGAACUUUGAAAAGAGAGUUAAACAGUACGUGAAAUUGUCAAAAGGGAAGCGUUUGACACCAGUGUUGUUUUUCUGAAAAUCAAUUAAAGAACUGUUUAUGCUAAGCUGUUUAGACUUUAUCAGCUAACUGUUUAGUUUUGAGCUUUUCUUUAAUGCACUUUUCAGUUAACAAGUCAACAUCAAUUUCUUUUGCUGUAAAAAAGCUUGAGGAAAGUGGCUUGAGAUUCGUCUUAAGUGUUUAUAGCCUCUUGCCUAUGCAGUCGGAGAGAUUGAGGUCUGCAGCGUAGAUCCUUCGGGGCUAAAUGCAUUUGUGCUAAGUUAUAGCAUUUUAUAGACAACUUGUUGACUAUGAUUUGUCUUGUAGCUUACUCGCUUAUGUUAUUUUACCUACGCUUAGGAUGUUGAAUCUGUGCGAGACUAC
rnacentral:rRNA from 1 species